rnacentral:rRNA from 1 species
AUUGAACGCUGGCGGCAUGCCUUACACAUGCAAGUCGAACGGCAGCGCGGGGCAACCUGGCGGCGAGUGGCGAACGGGUGAGUAAUAUAUCGGAACAUACCCUAGAGUGGGGGAUAACGUAGCGAAAGUUACGCUAAUACCGCAUACGCACUAAGGUGGAAAGUGGGGGAUCUUCGGACCUCAUGCUCAUGGAGUGGCCGAUAUCUGAUUAGCUAGUUGGUGAGGUAAAGGCUCACCAAGGCGACGAUCAGUAGCUGGUUUGAGAGAACGACCAGCCACACUGGAACUGAGACACGGUCCAGACUCCUACGGGAGGCAGCAGUGGGAAUUUUGGACAAUGGGGGCAACCCUGAGUCCAGCAAUGCCGCGUGAGUGAAGAAGGCC